GGGGGAUAUUGCACAAUGGGCGAAAGCCUGAUGCAGCGACGCCGCGUGGAGGAUGAAGGCUUUCGAGUUGUAAACUCCUGUUAAGUGGGAAGAAAUGCUUUGGGUUAAUACCCCAAGGAGAUGACGGUACCACUAGAGAAAGCACCGGCAAACUUCGUGCCAGCAGCCGCGGUAAUACGAAGGGUGCGAGCGUUAUUCGGAGUUACUGGGCGUAAAGAGCGCGUAGGCGGUUUACUAAGUCAGUUGUUAAAUUCCAUGGCUUAACUAUGGACGUGCGACUGAUACUGGUGAGCUAGAGUAUAGAAGAGAGAAGUGGAAUUCCCGGAGUAGCGGUAAAAUGCGUAGAUCUCGGGAGGAACACCGGUUGCGAAGGCGGCUUCUUGGUCUAUUACUGACGCUAAAGUGCGAAAGCGUGGGGAGCAAAC
rnacentral:rRNA from 1 species